rnacentral:rRNA from 1 species
GACGAACGCUGGCGGCGUGCUUAACACAUGCAAGUCGAACGAUGAAGCCGGAGCUUGCUCUGGUGAAUUAGUGGCGAACGGGUGAGUAACACGUGAGUAACCUGCCCUUGACUCUGGGAUAACUGCGGGAAACUGUAGCUAAUACCGGAUACGACCCUCGGAGGCAUCUCCUGGGGGUGGAAAGAAUUUCGGUCAAGGAUGGACUCGCGGCCUAUCAGCUAGUUGGUGAGGUAAAGGCUCACCAAGGCGACGACGGGUAGCCGGCCUGAGAGGGUGACCGGCCACACUGGGACUGAGACACGGCCCAGACUCCUAUGGGAGGCAGCAGUGGGGAAUAUUGCACAAUGGGCGCAAGCCUGAUGCAGCAACGCCGCGUGAGGGAUGACGGCCUUCGGGUUGUAAACCUCUUUCAGCAUCGACGAAGCGAAAGUGACGGUAGGUGCAGAAGAAGGACCGGCCAACUACGUGCCAGCCGCCGCCGUAA